rnacentral:lncRNA from 1 species
AUGUGUGGGUCCUGACUUCUAAGAUGACUCCCACCCCCGCCAAAGGAGGUGACUGUGCCAAAAAGGGCCGUGGCCGUGACUGCCCAGUCCGCUACGAGUGUACAAGCCAAGGUCACUGAGAAGUUCAUUGCCAGGAAUGCAGUAGAGACCUACCACAUCUCCCAGGUUCUGUGUGAAGCUGAACCGCUCACAGUGAAGUGGUCAGGAAUGGAUCAACUCCCCCCCCUCCCCAAUUUAGACCUGCUGGUUCUGCCCAGUGACUUUCCCCAAAGCCCAUGUGAUGAGCUGGAGUCUGCACAACAUAAGACGAGUCAUCUUCUGGGGAAAUAUAAAAUGGAAAAUAGUUUUUAAACAUCUUGACCCUUGAAGCUGGAAGCCUGUGAUCUCAGCUCAGUAGCAACAGGGAAGCCAUCAUCCAUGCUUCAGCGAGACUUCUCAGCAGUGUGGUUGCUUUGGGGUCACCGUGCUCUCAUAAGUACCCCUUCCCCAUGCUCGAGAGAAACAGAGUCUUACAAACUCCUGAAAGAUUAGCAUCUGCACAGAUUUUCGUGUCAACACAUUUCUUUUCACUCAGGAACUCUGUGUCUGCGUGUUGUAGUGUUAUGAACUUGUCAAGGUAGAACCAGAUUCCGACCGCUCACUCUGGCGCCUCAGGUGGCAAUGUGUGUCAGCAAUUGCAGUUUCAGGAUCUGGCCCAGCAGUCUCAAAAUAUGCCAGAAAGAACCAUCUUGUCAUCAUUUCUUUCAAUUUCAUGGUGCCAGGAUAGAGCCCAAGCCUGUAGGCUACCUGGGCAACUGUCCUACCAAGCAGCUCACCCCUCCCACCACCGUCCUUUUAGCAGCUGAAGGAGCAGGCACUUUAGUGCCUCUCACACUGAUCAAGGUUUUCAGAAGACAGAAGGAAACUAGGCACCAAAACCUCACUCACACGGAGCUUGUGUGCAGAAGGGUGUGAACCAGACGCCGCUUAAACACAUCUGGUUUUGUUUUUAUUUUUUUGUUUGUUUACUGCUUUUUGUUUUGUGUUGCUUUGUUUUGAGUCAGGGCCUUACUUUGUGGCUCUAAGUUACAUCCUCAAAUACAUCCCUAGUCUCUGCCUCCCAAGUGCGGAGGUUAAAGGCAUGUGCCACAACCAUGCAUAGUUUAACCGUGUUUUUCUUUACUCUACUUGUAACGCUGAGAAUGUAGCUAAUGGGUAGACUAUGUGCUUAGAGUGUGCAAGGCCUCAGGCUCAACGGCCAGCGUCAGAGCAGUCACCUGCUGCUAUGGAAAUCUUAACGACUUCAUUAUGGAUUUUUAAGAACACCUACGGAAAAACAUUAUACCACAAUCUGUUAUUUUUCUGAAUCUAAGAAAGUGUGAUGAUUC